rnacentral:misc_RNA from 1 species
AGAAUCCACGCGAUCAAUAUUUGAAGAUAGUUGCCUCCUAGUACUCCUGAUUGACGCAUAAACAUUUUCAAGCUGUUGGGCUAUAGAAGUGCAAGCAUCAGAUAAACUCCGUCUUGUUGCAAACAUCAUGUCUGGAAGUUUCCAACCCUUCCACCAAAUAUAGCCAUAUCCAACAACACCCACGACAACAAUUACACCAUAUCUACUAGCACCCAAACCUGUCCCACUUGCAGUUACAAUUGUAACUGGUCUGUUUGAUGCUAACAUUUGCAGCUCCUGCCGAAGACUGUCAACCUGAGCCAUCAAAGAAUCAUUAUGUUGCUUGCCAAUUGAUGAGGUAGAAUCAUCUCGUCUAACUUGCUUAAAAGCAAUCUUGAAUGCACCAGAAACCAAGUCAGACACAUUUGACAAGCGCCCCUCUUU